AGCCCUGAGGUGUAAGACAUAUUAGAUUGCAAAUCUUAAGUAGCAGGUGAGAGCCUGCCGGGGCUU
rnacentral:tRNA from 1 species